AGCCUAAACCGAUUUUUCGGCAUGGUUAAAAGACCCAUGAAAGAUACUGAACCCCGCGUUCAGCGACUCUUUCAUGGGCUAUAUCAGGAAACUGGUAUAGGGUCGUAAGACCU
rnacentral:sRNA from 12 species